rnacentral:rRNA from 1 species
UACUAGAGUAGCACUCGCAUAUCAAUAAGCGGAGGAAAAGAAACUAACAAGGAUUCCCUUAGUAACGGCGAGUGAAGCGGGAAGAGCUCAAAUUUGAAAUCUUCAAGGUUCUACCUUGACGAAUUGUAGUUUAUAGAAGUGUUUUCUGUUAGUAGGAGUGGCAAAAGUUCUUUGGAAUAGGACAUCAUAGAGGGUGAGAAUCCCGUAUUUGGUCAUUCCUUCCUAGCGUUGUGAUACACUUUCAACGAGUCGGAUUGUUUGGGAAUGCAGUCCAAAAUGGGUGGUAAAUUUCAUCUAAAGCUAAAUAUUGGCGAGAGACCGAUAGCGAACAAGUACCGUGAGGGAAAGAUGAAAAGAACUUUGAAAAGAGAGUUAAACAGUACGUGAAAUUGUCAAAAGGGAAGCGUUUGACACCAGUGUUGUUUUUCCGAAAAUCAAUUACGAAUGUUUUGUUUUUAAGGAGUUAUGACUUCAUCGGCUUGCUUCUUUCUUUACGAAACUUUCUUAAUGCACUUUUCGGUUAACAAGUCAACAUCAAUUUCUUUUGUUGUAAAAGGGUAUGAGGAAGGUGGCUUUCUUUUCGGAGAAAGUGUUUAUAGCCUUGUAGCCUCUGCAAAAAUACGGAGAGAUUGAGGUCUGCAGCGUAGAUCCUUCGGGGUUAGAUACAUUUGUGCUAAGUUAUAGCUUUUCAUAGACAACUUGUUGACUAUGUUUAGUCUUGUAGCUUACUCGCUUAUGCUAUUUUACCUACGCUUAGGAUGUUGAAGAUGUAGCACAUCAU